UAAGGGAUAGCUGAGUGAUAGAGCUCAUGCUUAGCAAGCACAAGGUCCUGGGUUCAACCCCCAGUACCUCUA
rnacentral:tRNA from 1 species